CUCUUUCUCUGUCUCGCAACCAGCCACACCAUCUAUUCACUCAAAAUUCCAAAAAUCUUAAAACCUCAUUUCCUCCAGUCGAAAAAUCGCGAUCACCCUUCACCAUGGAAAUUUUAUUCGAAAAAAUUAUAACAGAACUCCGCUGUUCCCAAUUCGAGAACUCUUCACUCUAAGCCCGAGUAUCAACAAGAGGCCAGAAGACUGAAGAUUGCAUUUUGGAUUCUGAUUUCGCAGACUUUGUGGAGUUGCAGCCUGAGGUCUGAAGCAGCUAAAGUUGAGUGUUUUAAUCGGUUGUAUAUAUCACCCAGUUUACCCGUUCCUAUUAUUGCUCAACAGGGACGAGUUUCACAGCAGCCCAAACGAUUCAAAAUUGAAAUUUAUGUAUUACUUGAGGAAAAAUGUACAUCCUCAUCUACACAAAAACAAAAAUGAAAGAAGAGUGAACUACUAAAUGGUAGUGUGAACAGUUUGGACAUCGAAAAUAAAUAUAUUUUUAUGUGAUUGUAUUAGG
rnacentral:sRNA from 1 species